CUUCGUAAUCGUUGCGUCGAUGCCACAAAAUUUGUCGUAUUACAACACUGCCGAAAAUUUUGCCGAAAAAAUGGCAGUGGGGAAACAUUUGCAAGUGGAGGGAUGAAGUCCAAGUCUUAAUACGACAAACUGCGAAAUGAGUUUAACUGUUUAACUUGUUCUAAAAUUGAGACAAGGCGAUCCAUUCACCGACUGCAGUUUGUUUCAACCGUCACAGCAUAAAUUAAACUUUGCGGGAAAACGAAAAAAAAUUACGAAGAAAAAUAAUGGUUCAUUAAAAUAGGAAAAUUUGACGCUGGAAUUUCUUUCAAAGGCAGGAUGAAUGUCGUUCGAUAAGCCUGUUGAGAUGGCCAUGAAGCUACUGGUGGAGAUACGAUAUAUCACUGGCGAGGUCAGGCCGAGUUUUACUCCCGCUUUGAACAAGGCAAUUUUUAAGCACGAUUAAGAGAAUCUAAGAGUAUCUUUAUAUCUUUGUGCGGAGACAAGUUUCGGUAAUUAUUAUUUUUGUUAUUGAUAAAAAAAGGUUGCAUUGCA